rnacentral:rRNA from 1 species
GAUGAACGCUGGCGGCGUGCCUAAUACAUGCAAGUCGAGCGAACAGACGAGGAGCUUGCUCCUCUGACGUUAGCGGCGGACGGGUGAGUAACACGUGGAUAACCUACCUAUAAGACUGGGAUAACUUCGGUAAACCGGAGCUAAUACCGGAUAAUAUAUUGAACCGCAUGGUUCAAUAGUGAAAGACGGUUUUGCUGUCACUUAUAGAUGGAUCCGCGCCGCAUUAGCUAGUUGGUGAGGUAACGGCUUACCAAGGCGACGAUGCGUAGCCGACCUGAGAGGGUGAUCGGCCACACUGGAACUGAGACACGGUCCAGACUCCUACGGGAGGCAGCAGUAGGCAAUCUUCCGCAAUGGGCGAAAGCCUGACGGAGCAACGCCGCGUGAGUGAUGAAGGUCUUCGGAUCGUAAAACUCUGUUAUUAGGGAAGAACAAAUGUGUAAGUAACUAUGCACGUCUUGACGGUACCUGAUCAGAAAGCCACGGCUAACUACGUG